GUCAAUAAUAAGUGCUGCUGUGAAGAGAACAAUUCUCAGACUGAAUGUUGAACAUCAGCUAGUUUCUCCUGCUGAUUUCAACCUUGUUGUACAGAUGGAACAUUGGCUGUGGAUUAUUCUUGCUGCUCUUUUCUUUGAGUGUAAAGGAGAAGACAAAGUGAUGCAGCCAGCAGGAGAUGUGACUGCUGCUGAAGGAGACACAGUUACACUUGGAUGUACCUUUCAGACCAGUUAUUCAGCUACACUAAUCUGGUACAAACAAGAAGCAAAUAGUUACCCAAAGUAUAUGCUGAAAUGUGUCUCAGAGUCAACAGUUAAAGCUGAUGAGUUCAACAAGGACAGAUUUGAUGCUAAAAUCAACAAGACAUCAGUUCCUCUGAAGAUCCAGAAGCUUCAGCUGUCUGACUCUGCUGUGUACUACUGUGCUCUGAGGCCCACAGUGACAGGAAACAGCAAAACUCUGUACAAAAACCUUUGGAGCAAAGACAACAGAAUACUCCACAACAUCCACUAGAGGGAGACACACACUGUUAAACCUCUGAUUCUUGUGUCAUUGGACUGAUGACAAAGACAACAGAGAAAUGAAGCAGUAAAGAUCAGAGACAGAGACAGAGCUGCUGUGGAAGCACAAAACUAUUUAAUUGGCUGAGAUGAUAGAUGAAGGUAAUUGGCCCGCCCACUGACCUUCUGUUC